AACGAACGCUGGCGGCAGGCCUAACACAUGCAAGUCGAACGCAUCGCAAGAUGAGUGGCGCACGGGUGAGUAACACGUGGGAAUGUAUCCUUUGGUUCGGAAUAACGUUUGGAAACGAACGCUAAUACCGGAUGAGCCCUUAGGGGGAAGGAUUUAUCGCCGAAGGAGCAGCCCGCGUCUGAUUAGGUAGUUGGUGGGGUAAAGGCCUACCAAGCCGACGAUCAGUAGCUGGUCUGAGAGGAUGAUCAGCCACACUGGGACUGAGACACGGCCCAGACUCCUACGGGAGGCAGCAGUGGGGAAUAUUGGACAAUGGGCGCAAGCCUGAUCCAGCCAUGCCGCGUGAGUGAUGAAGGCCUUCGGGUUGUAAAGCUCUUUCGCACACGACGAUGAUGACGGUAGUGUGAGAAGAAGCCCCGGCUAACUUCGUGCCAGCCGCCGCCGUAACAC
rnacentral:rRNA from 1 species